GUGGCUGACUGGUUACGGUGUUCGCUUUGUAAGCGAAUGGUCCUGGGUUCAAUUCCCAUC
rnacentral:tRNA from 1 species